rnacentral:rRNA from 1 species
UACGUAGGGUGCAAGCGUUAAUCGGAAUUACUGGGCGUAAAGCGUGCGCAGGCGGUGAUGUAAGACAGGUGUGAAAUCCCCGGGCUUAACCUGGGAACUGCAUUUGUGACUGCAUCGCUGGAGUGCGGCAGAGGGGGAUGGAAUUCCGCGUGUAGCAGUGAAAUGCGUAGAUAUGCGGAGGAACACCGAUGGCGAAGGCAGCCCCCUGGGCCAAUACUGACGCUCAUGCACGAAAGCGUGGGGAGCAAACAGG